AUUGAACGCUGGCGGCAGGCUUAACACAUGCAAGUCGAGCGAGCGGCGGACGGGUGAGUACUGCUUGGGAAUCUAGCUUAUGGAGGGGGAUAACUACGGGAAACUGUAGAUAAUACCGCGUACCAUAGGAUGAGCCCAAGUGGGAUUAGGUAGUUGGUGAGGUAAAGGCUCACAUAGGCGACUAUCUCUAGCUGGUCUGAGAGGAUGAUCAGCCACACUGGGACUGAGACACGGCCCAGACUCCUACGUCAGGCAGCAGUGGUGAAUACUGCACAAUGGGCGCAAGCCUGAUGCAGCCAUGCCGCGUGGAUGAAGAAGGCCUUAGGGUUUUAAAGUACUUUCAGCGGGGAGGCUUUACCCGCAUAAGAAGCACCGGCUAACUCCGUGCCAGCAGCCGCGGUAAUAC
rnacentral:rRNA from 1 species